UACACUCCUACGGGAGGCAGCAGUGGGGAAUUUUGGACAAUGGGCGAAAGCCUGAUCCAGCAAUGCCGCGUGAGUGAAGAAGGCCUUCGGGUUGUAAAGCUCUUUUGUCAGGGAAGAAACGGUGAGAGCUAAUAUCUCUUGCUAAUGACGGUACCUGAAGAAUAAGCACCGGCUAACUACGUGCCAGCAGCCGCGGUAAUACGUAGGGUGCAAGCGUUAAUCGGAAUUACUGGGCGUAAAGCGUGCGCAGGCGGUUUUGUAAGUCUGAUGUGAAAUCCCCGGGCUCAACCUGGGAAUUGCAUUGGAGACUGCAAGGCUAGAAUCUGGCAGAGGGGGGUAGAAUUCCACGUGUAGCAGUGAAAUGCGUAGAUAUGUGGAGGAACACCGAUGGCGAAGGCAGCCCCCUGGGUCAAGAUUGACGCUCAUGCACGAAAGCGUGGGGAGCAAACAGGAUUAGAUACCCUGGUAGUCCCAUGA
rnacentral:rRNA from 1 species